GCUUCACUGAGGAACUUCCGGCAGCCUCGGCCUCCUUGCCGUACCGAGGCAAAGCACAGACAGCGCACCGAGACUGCAUGCUCACAGAGACAGGAAGUUCAAGUGAAAGCGCACACGGAGCAGACAGCCAAGAAGCUACUUGUGUCGCUUCGCUCCUUCACGAUUGUCUGCCCUGCUCCCUUUUUUGCCCUUAACGCACCUCUUUCUAUGGCUUAUCCCCGUUUUUGUGAAAUGACAGAGCCCGCGUGCAGCAACCCCGUCCGCGCUGCCUUGCGCUUCUACGCAGCACAGGGGACCGAAGGUACUGCGGAUUCAGCAGCUGAUCCGACGCAUCAGCUGGCGGUAGCGCAUUCUGCUCCGUCGCCGUCUGCCGAUGCGAUGCAGGCGGCGCUGGAGGCUUUCAUAAACAGUCGCGAGGAGGACGCAGUGAGCUUCGUCGCAGGCUUCUUGCACCUGACCCCAAGUGACAGAGUGACCGCGCUUGCGAAGCUCGAAGCCCGUGAGGAGGUCUCACCUGCUGGUGACGCAGCGGCAGGGAAUGAGCUGUCGGAGACACGCAUGCCAGCUGCCACAUGUGCAGAGCAGCUCCGACGUCUGCAGCAACACGAACUGCAGGCAAAGCAGCUUGCGCUGGUCGAGCGCCUCUCCGGAGAAGCCCAGAAAGCGAAUCAUGACUAUCACUCCGUGAAGACUCGCACACAUUCAUUUGCGAGCGGGCAGCGCCCACUGGACGACGAUACAUCAGCGGCACCCGCGGGCGUAAAGUCGUCCCCCACCAGGAAUGGCGACGCAGAAGGGCUGGAGACGAUCGAGUUAGACGAGGGCACGCGCACCGGCAUCCUCGUCGCAUUCAUAGACACGGGUGUGACGGAAGUCUCAACCCACUUCGACAACUUCUUUGACGUGGCCGCUACCCCACUCGCUCCUCUGGUCAGCGCUCAAGGUGAGGCGCGCGACGGUGUGCCGACCCCGUCGGCGCCACGCAUCCUUCCGACGUUAGACAAAAUACUGGGCUUGGAUACCGAGGAGGUGGAGGACCCCACUAAACCUCCAUCUGGGAAGUCCUGUCUUUCGCAGACGGCGGACGCUAGCGACACCGGUGCCCUCAUGAAUGCGUUCGAGCACCGGCCUCAGAGUCGACGUGAGAGGGAUGUCUCCAGCCCGACCUCCUCCAUCGAGAGCGUUGCACUGCCUGGGCUGGAAGAUGCUUGUGUGAACUUGGACGGUCCUCGCGAAGCCUCUCGAGACACAGAGAACGUCGAAUUUGUUUCCAAGCUCCACGAGGUUAUUGCGGAGAGAGAUAACUGCGUGCAGCCCUUCACUUUGGAUCCCCUCUUCGACUACGACGCCGACAUCCUCGGCGAGGCAUUCUGCACCGGCGCCGCGUGGCGGAGCGACUGAGGCUCUCGGGGAACCCCACGCAAUCUCUUGUCUGAACCGCACACGCGGCGACUUGUCGAACUCACAACAGCAGGGAAACCAAGCGGUGAGGAAGGACUUCUCCGCUGCCGGGACUUUGUACACUAGCACCUCCGCCCCCCUUCUUCCCCCUCUGUUUCUCUUUCUUGCAG
rnacentral:misc_RNA from 1 species